AUUGAACGCUGGCGGCAUGCUUUACACAUGCAAGUCGAACGGCAGCGCGGGCUUCGGCCUGGCGGCGAGUGGCGAACGGGUGAGUAAUACAUCGGAACGUGCCCAGUAGUGGGGGAUAGCUCGGCGAAAGCCGGAUUAAUACCGCAUACGACCUGAGGGUGAAAGCGGGGGAUCUUCGGACCUCGCGCUAUUGGAGUGGCCGAUGGCAGAUUAGCUAGUGGGUGGGGUAAAGGCCUACCAAGGCGCCGAUCUGUAGCUGGUCUGAGAGGACGACCAGCCACACUGGGACUGGGACACGGCCCAGACUCCUACGGGGGGCAGCAGUGGGGAAUUUUGGACAAGGGGCGAAAGCCUGAUCCAGCAAUGCCGCGUGUGGGAUGAAGGCCUUCGGGUUGUAAAGCACUUUUGGCGGGAACGAAAAGGACUGUGCCAAUACCACGGUUCGAUGACGGUACCCGCAGAAUAAGCACCGGCUAACUACGUG
rnacentral:rRNA from 1 species